rnacentral:lncRNA from 1 species
CCGUUCUUUUCACUUUAUGAUACACAUGCCUAGCCAUGAGUUAUAAACAUGAUUUAUCUUUAGCCAACUCCCAAAUAUCCAACAAUAGAGAAGGAUGGACUGCUUCUCUAGAUGGGCUUGGAUCCAAUCAAUCACUAUGGCUAAAUCCCCCACAUGGAGGAUCUACUCAGCCCCCAACUCACAUCUAAUAUAUUUGAUAUCCUCCCAAGCCACCUGCAGCUCUGCUUUCGG